rnacentral:rRNA from 1 species
GCCCGGGCUAUACGAUUGUUCCAGGAUAACCGACCCCUCCGGGGCCGGCGCAGAAAGACAUUUGAUACUGGCUUGGGGUGCGGCCGAAUGAUGGUCGCCCCUCUCCAUGAUCACACCGCAUGUUUAUGAAGGACUGGGUGUUAAACCACUUGCAUACGACCUGAUUCUGGGUCAGGGUUUCGUAAGUNGCAGAGCAGCUUUAUGANUGCGAUC